rnacentral:rRNA from 1 species
GGGGUUUAGGUAGGCAGGCAGGCAGGCAGGCAGCCGAAUUUGGGAUCGGCGGGGAGGAGGCUGAGCGGCGGCGGCGGCCAACGGUACCUCAAGACCCCGGAACUCCAAUUCGGAUUGGUCAGGCAGUUCCAAAGUGGACUACUACUGGUGAAGGAGGUAGAGAGGGUCCCACGGGAACCGCUUCAGUUCUUCCUACUGUUCCGUUGGUACAAGCAGUUCUAGCCGCUGGUCUUCGACCGGUAGCCCUGGGAGAGAUGGCUGUUCAAGGGAGUCUAGGUCAAACUGGAGCAGAAGCUCUUCCUCAAACUCGACAGUGUGUUAAGGUUCUGUAGGUCGCAGAAGAAGAGACCGAUGUUCCAAAAGGUCGGACGGCUCCCUCUACUCUACCUAAAACUAAGACUCCUACUGAGACUCCUCCUCCUUCUCUUCUAGUAAGGUCGUGAGUGGUUCCUUUUACCGUUUGGACUUCGGUUCCUCGUCUUCUUCGUCCAAUUCUAACUGUGACGACGCGGAAGUUUCAGUUUCCGGCGACGGUUCCUACACCCUUUUAGAUUCUUCCUACUACUGUCGCUACUACUACUACUGUCACUACUCCUACUGUCGCUUCUACUGAGACCACUACUACCUCGUAACUAAGGGUACCUCCUACUAAGACUACUGUCACUCCUACCACUACUGAGGAGACUACUAUCGCUCCUAUCGAGACUACUCCUCCUUCUUCUUUGUGGGUUCUUCGUUCUCUGACCCUUCUUCUCCCACCGACCUUCGCACAACUUCUGGGGACAAUGACUGUUCUUCCGGUUCUAACGUUGUGGCAGUCCGGUCUUCUGUCCACUGUUCUUCCCUCGACAGGUACACCGCUGAGGCGUGGGCCGGUUCUUCCGUCCGUUCUGGGGUCGUUGGUCACUCUUCAGCGGGUUCAGACCUCCCAGCCAGCGCACGUUCAGCACGUCGUUCUGUAAGUUGUCACUCCCGCGAGAUCGAAGCGUGAGGUUCCGGUUCGUACUCCGGUUCAUCUAAUUUUCUCCUCCUACGACCGACCGACGGAGGAUACUCUAAUAGCAAUACGAGGACAGGACACAAUCCGAUAGAUGAUAUAGGAAUACAACAGCACGCACAAGGGAUGGGAUGGAAAGGAAUGGAUCGGAGUAGGAAUAGGAAAACCUUCCCUUCCCUUCCGUUCCGUUCCGUUCAAUUCCCUCUUUGGCAACUCGACAAUCACUACUACUCAACAACGGCACUAAGCCUUAACCUUAACCAACCACCUUACGAUACCAACGAGCAAAACUUGCUUACUAAGGAGACACCAAACCCUACGUUUACGAAAUAAAAACCGAACAAAGAACCACACAAACUUGAACUAACGAGAACAAAGGACAACUCCAGUAGAAAAAAACGUCGAAACGAGGUGUCUUUUUACGUUUGUUCAAUAUAUAUUAUCUAAAUCGUAUGAAAAAUAUUCGUUUGUGACUUACGUAAAAAAAAGUUUAAUAUU